rnacentral:misc_RNA from 1 species
AUUAAUUAAAAUUAUAAUAAAUCUUAUUUGAUUGAGUUAUAAACAUUAAAAAUGUUGAUAACAAUUUUCUCAGUUGAACAAUCGGAUGAAACAAAUGAUAUAUAUCCAUCAUUUUUCUUGUAAUUUAAAGGAUAAAAGAAAAUAGAAAGACCAUUAAAUUUUUUUGAUGUAUAUAAAAAUACUAUUCAUUUUUUCAUGAAAAAUAAUUCUUUUUAUAUUAUAAAAAGUGAAUCUCACAUAUUUUUUAGAGAUAACACAGGCACACUAUUUUACCUAAUAACCUCUAAGAAAAAUGCUCUUUCCUCCAUUAUUACGUAUAAUGACCAUAGGUAAUCCACAAUGGGUUAAUCCUCAAAUUAAAAAAAGGAUUCAUCGUCCCUGCGGAUUCAUUAUUUCUGAAAGCACAGUUCUUGAUUUCACUUUAUAUCGGUAUCAUAGUUGCUGGUACUCCUUUCACCAGUACUAGCUGUGCUCCUUGAAUAUGACAUUGGUCCACUUGAAAUUGUACAUUGCUCAUCAUCAUCAGUGUUAAUCAAUUUCUGGCUCUCACUGACAUCAUCUCUGGCACUGACAUUCUUCUCAGCAGUUUCAUGAAGCUGCAAGGCAAAUUCAAGACUCCAUGUCACGUCGCCCAUCGUUGGCCGUUCAAUAGCUACGUCACGCACACAACUAUCAGCAAUCUCCCCGAACUUGUUCAAAGAGACAAGUGUGAUAUCACCCUUCAACUGUGGGUCAAUAAUCUGAUCAAGUGCUCCUCUCUGAUAAUAUUUUCGUGCCCACUCAACCAAAAUCACUUCUUCUUUUGGUAGGUUUGAAAUCACUGGUGGCCGGGAGCAUAAUACCUCAAGCAAUACCACCCCAAAUGAGUACACAUCUGAUUUCUCAGUGAGCUGUUGCCUGCGAUAGUAUUCAGGGUCAAGAUACCCAAAACUACCUCUAACAACAGUACUGACAUGUGUUUGGUCUUCACCAGCGGGACCUGUUUUUGACAAGCCAAAAUCUGAGACCUUGGCCACCCAAUUCCUGUCUAAGAGUAUGUUCGAUGACUUCACGUCUCGGUGGAUAACGCUUUGGUUUGAGCCCGUAUGAAGAUAAUGCAAUCCUCUUGCCGCACCAAUACAUAUUUCUAAUCUUUGCUUCCAUGGGAGAGGAGGGCUCAUUGUUUUGUACAGAUGAUCUUGAAGGGUACCAUGCGGCAUGUACUCAUAAACAAGGAUCAUCUCAUCUUGAUCAUUGCAGUAUCCAAUCAAAGAAACAAGAUGAACAUGGCGGAGCUUGGACAACAUCUGAAUCUCUGUGUGGAACUCGCGGAUCCCCUGUUUGGAUGAUGAAGUUAGCCGUUUGAUCGCAGCUGGUAUGGAUCCACUUUCAAUGUAGCCUUUGUACACAGUACCAAAUCCUCCUGAACCAAUAAUAUUUUGAUCGUCAAAAUUUCUUGUAGAUGCUCUGAUCUCAGCCAUUGUAAAUUUACGACAAAGAUCAGUUGGCAGUGAUAAAGCAAUUGUCGCUGAGCUAGAUGUGUCCUUUGCUUUCGCUUUUCGUCUGUAGACGCAGAAAAAGGAAAAAACGACUACAGCGAAAGCGAAUGCACCUAUAACAGCCCCGACGAUAACUAUAGUUUCGGAUGAUCCUUUGCUCUUCGUCCUCCUCCCAAGGCUUGGGUGCUGUUCUGGUGGUGCAGGUACUUCCGGGUUUGGUCCAGCGAGAUUACCAUCUGAUUUGUUCAGCUUGAAUAUCUCUAAGCCGUUCAAAAUAGCAUCAGCAUAUUUAGGAUUUGAAUGGAUAUUUGGGUGUAGAGAGAGCCAUAAAUCCUGGUUGAUGGGGCUUUCUUUUGGGACUUGAAUGACGUAGUCUUUGUAUACUGGAAUAUCCCUACCCCCGCCCCAGUGGAACACAUCCGCUUCAGCUUCGGCUGUCAUAUUAUUGAUGAAUAUGAAAAACACCCGUUGAUUUGUAUCUGUAAUAGAUUCUUCAGUCUCACAGAAAUGGAGUCUGACAAGGUAACUGAACCCAGAAUCAACAGGGAAGCGCCAAGUAAGGUUGUACUUUAGAUUCACAGACGGUUCUGCACCCAUUGAACGUUUAGUAGUGUAAACAGUAGCUGGUGCAGUGUAUGCAGGGGUAUCCUUUGUGUAAUUUAUCGUCACAUCGUCGCGCCACUUAUGAGGAAGACCUGGUGCUCCAAAGAUAUAUUUGGAAUCAUCAAACCAUGUUCGAAACAUCCCUGUAUCAUCUAUGUUGCCAACAAGUCUACCGCCAACGUUAAGCCGGUGAACAGUUUCUAGGGAGGUGGAGUUAUCGAAGUAAAAGAAAGGGUUUGAAUCGGAGUAUACAAAGGUAUAACGAUUAUCCAUAUCUUUUGUAUACAGGUAAUUUGGUAAGGAAACAAUUUCUACGCCAUUAAUGAAGGCAAAAGAACUUGGAGACGGAGUAAAUGUCAAUUUUAGCUCCUGGUUGUCCCACACAGUGACUAUGAAUUCCUUGAAGACGUAGGGAACUGGUUGAAUUUUAGCAGAAACAGCUAGAUAUGCACUAAAGUUGCUAAGAAGAGUGUAAUUAUUUGCAGUGACAGUGAAGAAGGACGCGGAUGUGCUGAGACCCGAGUAUGUAUCUGGAUAGAAGUAGAGACGGACAAAUUUUGGACCAGGCAAGACAGGGAAAGUGCAGGUGAGUUUGGAGUGAAUUAUUCGGGCUGUCAUAUAAGGUACACGGUCAACAGAGUGGCCUUGUUGAGAGGCUUCAGACAGUGGGGAUGUUUGAGAGUUGAAGGGGCAGAACUUGGACUGGGCAUCACCAUUCCAACGCCUUCCAUCCUGUGAUGCAUCAUCAGAUGAUGCACCACAGUUGAUGAGUAUCGACUCAGUGGGAGUGUAAGGUGGCCGGUUUUGUGCUGCGGUGGAGACGAAGAUGAAAUCGAGGAGAGGAAGCAGGAGGAGAAGUAGGCCGAUCAUAGUGCUGUUUCGAUUGGCAAUUAAAAGUUUGAAAGAUGCUCGUGAGUAUGAGUUGUGGAGCUUUUUGAUAGCAGACUGAUUCUCAUAUACGGCUAAUUAUUAGGUACACCCGGUGCACUAAAAAAUAGUG